CGUUUCUUUGCUGGCGACCGGCGCACGGGUGAGUAACACGUAUCCAACCUGCCCUUUACUCGGGGAUAGCCUUUCGAAAGAAAGCUUAAUGCCCGAUAGCAUAAUGAUUCCGCAUGGUUUCAUUAUUAAAGGAUUCCGGUAAAGGAUGGGGAUGCGUUCCAUUAGGUUGUUGGUGAGGUAACGGCCCACCAAGCCUUCGAUGGAUAGGGGUUCUGAGAGGAAGGUCCCCCACAUUGGAACUGAGACACGGUCCAA
rnacentral:rRNA from 1 species